rnacentral:rRNA from 1 species
AACCUCCGCAAUGUGAGAAAUCGCGACGGGGGGAUCCCAAGUGCCAUUCUUAACGGGAUGGCUUUUCAUUAGUGUAAAGAGCUUUUGGAAUAAGAGCUGGGCAAGACCGGUGCCAGCCGCCGCGGUAACACCGGCAGCUCUAGUGGUAGCAAUUUUUAUUGGGCCUAAAGCGUCCGUAGCCGGUUUAAUAAGUCUCUGGUGAAAUCCUGUAGCUUAACUGUGGGAAUUGCUGGAGAUACUAUUAGACUUGAGACCGGGAGAGGUUAGAGGUACUCCCAGGGUAGAGGUGAAAUUCUGUAAUCCUGGGAGGACCGCCUGUUGCGAAGGCGUCUAACUGGAACGGUUCUGACGGUGAGGGACGAAAGUUAGGGCGCGAACCGGAUUAGAUACCCGGGUAGUCCUAACUGUAAACGAUGCGGACUUGGUGUUGGGGUGGCUUUGAGCUGCUCCAGUGCCGAAGGGAGCUGUUAAGCCGUCCGCCGUGGGAGUACGGUCGCAAGACUGAAACUUAAAGGAAUU